rnacentral:rRNA from 1 species
CCGCACGGGUGAGUAACACGUAUCCAACCUGCCGUCUACUCUUGGACAGCCUUCUGAAAGGAAGAUUAAUACAAGAUGGCAUCAUGAGUUCACAUGUUCACAUGAUUAAAGGUAUUCCGGUAGACGAUGGGGAUGCGUUCCAUUAGAUAGUAGGCGGGGUAACGGCCCACCUAGUCUUCGAUGGAUAGGGGUUCUGAGAGGAAGGUCCCCCACAUUGGAACUGAGACACGGUCCA